rnacentral:tRNA from 1 species
GGUUGUGGUUCAAUGGUAGAGUACUUGCCUAGCAUGUGUGAGGCACUGGGUUCAAUUCUCAGCACCA